CGGUGAUCUCAUUUGCAAAAACAACACAGAACCGCCUUUUUGCAACUGCAAAUGCAACUGGACAGGAGAGAUGUGUGACAAAAUGGAUGUCCAAAAGAUAAUGUGCAAUUGUUUCACUCUUGGGAAGCCCAUUGCCUAUGCGGACAGUAUGAAGUCUUGCCACGAUGCUCGACGACCUGCAAACUGGACUGAGUGCAUUUUAGACGGAAAACGAGAAGAUACGGCAAUGAACUGUAUCUGCGCUCCUUUAAAUACAACAGAUAUAAGAUUUCAUCUUGAUGAAAAGAAAGAUCUACAGAAUUGCAGUUUUUCACAGUCUUAAAAAGGUAUUAAAGAACUUGACGUAUAUCUUAAGCGCUUAUGAACUAUUUGAUAAGUCUUUAU